UUCAUUUUUAUCACUGUGAAAAAUGUGACCGAAUGAUUGUUGUAAACAACUGCUUCGCAAAUAACGUUCAAAGCUUUAUGACUUUUCUCUUCUUUAUGUCUUUUUGUUAGUAAAAAGUUAGGAAAGUGGCCUUUGUAGUGGUUGAUUGCAUGUUUUUCCUCUUUUAUUAUCUCUUUCUUUAGACCUUAAGAUGAUUUGUAUUUGGAAUAGAGGAAAGAAUCCUUCACAUUUGUGUGACUCACCAUACUUAUGUUGUGUAUUUAAGUAUCCAUUGAAAAUUUCCCCUGAAAGCUUAGUUUUUUUUCUGUCACAAUCUACAUGUCCCAUUGCUUCGUUGGACAACUCCUUUAUCUAAGUCAUAUGAAGAUUUGUUUUCUGACUGGUACUUGAAGAUAUAGCUCUGGUGUAUUGACUUCAGAGUUAAUGGUCCUGGAAAAUAGGUCAAACGAUAACUGUAUGUGUGAGUUGUUCUAUGAUACAAGGUUCACCCAACUCAACACUUCCUUCCUUCAUCACCAAGUCUGAGUUAUAGAUAAGGAUGAGAAUUAGGAGAAGCACAAGCCAAGACCAAAACACUAAGGUUAUCUCUCUUUGAAAAACCCUUGCAGCAACGUCUCACCCAUUAGCUUUCUUAAGGUUCACACAACAAAUUAAAGGAGAUCCAGUGCCACAAGAUCUGCUAGACAGACUGUGCGAGCUCAUAGCUGUUCUUGCUGGUGGUGCAGCUGCAAAAUCUGAAGCACUGAAGGGACAAAAAAUUUGCUACAAGCCUACAACUAAACUUUAAGUCUUCUUUAUGUCCUUUUGUAUCAAGGCUUUACUUUGAAUUUCUGCUUUUUGUUCCAGGAAGAAGUAUUAGCAAUGAGCCUUCUCGUAGACAAUCCCUUAGCUAGCUGACAAUAACAAACAGCUACCCGGAAGAUGUUAUUGGUGAGCUAAGUACAAUCAGAAGAACGUUCAACACGACGGCAAUUACCGGAAAAUAGUAUAAUGGCAACUCUACGUAUAGAAAGGGAUGUUACUCUGUGUGUUAGGGACUGGCUCUUGCAUUCCAUAGAAAAUUGGAGAGCUAUGAGUCGGAGCCCAAUGUUGUGCUAGCUACCAGCAUAAUUUCCAAGACAGUUGGAGGUUCGUUCAAAGAUUGAUAAGAUUGAGAGAAAGGGUUUAUGCAAAACCUUGGACAGCAAGAAACUAUCAGAUGCUUCCACUGAGAUUGAUGGUUCAAAUAAUAUUCUGGAGCUAGCACCAGCUGCGAUAGCCAGAACAACUAACACUGUUACCAAGAAGGAAACAACAGUUUUGAGAAGAAGCUUUGCAACAAAAAGAGAAGAAGACGAUGCAGAGAGAGUUGAAAUUCAACCUAACGAUGAUUUCAGAGCAUCACUCCUUUGAGGUUUAUGGCUUUGUGUUUGAUCCCAAGGCAACCUAUGAAAGCUACGGGUCUGAGCUGAAAGUAGUGUUACUCACUAGCAUCAAUUCUAAGGUUGUUGGAGGCCGGUUAUUUCUCAACGACACUUCUGGAACCCAUAACUACUCAACGUAUUUGUUAAACCUUUAAUAAAUGGUACACCUCCAGUGCGUAAAAUAUUUGCCAAUUGAUAUCAUCAUAUUGGUACUGUGAUGUCACCUUUAAACUCUUUAGAUAGAGUGGGGAUCCCUCAGCCAAAAAUGGUUUUUCAUCCAACCUGGUUUAUGCUAAAAAAAUAGACUCAACUGUUUCUGAUCUCAACCAAUACGCUGUCACAUCUAAUCCUCAGGUCAAAGUUCCGUCUAUCACAACUCAAUAUCUCAGUUUAGACUAGCCAAACAUAAGUUAUCCAAUAUUUAGGAAAAGUCAUCUAUAAUUUAGCAUUAUUACAAUUAAUAAACGGAGUUUUUAUGUUCCAAUUUGCAGUUUCAUUUACAUACUUUUUCCAAUUUUCGUAUUAACUUUCAAAAAAAAUAUAGAAAUGUUUUUCCUCAUUUCCUAAUAUGUUUCACCGCCAUAGAUAGUUUCUUACCAAAAAUUAAAUAAGAAAAUAUAUGAACAGAACUUCAUUACAUGCGUUUGAAUUCAAAUCAGUCUCUAAUUAAAAUUUCAAAUGUCGUCCACAUAUUAUACUUAAUAAUAUAUGUAUAUAUAUGCUCUCUAAAUAAAACAUAUAUUCACUACUCAAACCAUAUAACAAGAUUUGAUUUCACGUUUAAAUUUGGUUACCUUAUGUUACAUUAAUAUUGCACCAUAAAAUUAAACCAAAAACAUCAAAUGUAACAUACUAGAAAAAAUAACUACAAUUAUUAAUAUAGCAGUAUCCACCAUCUAAAAAAAUUAUAUAUUAUAUCUUCACCAAAUAGAAAGAUUCACAAGAAAACAUAUAUUCUUUCAAACAAGAUAAUAAAAACAAACACAGGCAUUUACAUUUUCUCUCUCGAACAUCAACUUUACUUUAUGCUUAAAUUCCAAUUAAAUUAACUUUGUCAUGACUAUUCGGUUUUUUAUUCUAUUUUUAUUGAAUCGAUUAGUCACAACCACUUUUGUUAUUCUGGUUUGAACUUAGCAAUUUCAAAACAAAAUAAUAUACUUUAGUCGAUAACCAUUAUCAAAUAGAUCACAAAAUAUAAUUUUCUUUCAACAUAUUUUUAUCUUCAUAUUUUUGAAUAUAUUUUCUUUACUAAUACCAUAAAAUAAAUUGUAAAUUUAUUUAGAAAUAAAACAUACCAAGAUUUUGAGUUCGUCAAUGGAGCCCGCUGUGGACAAAAAGGUUCCAUCUUUCUGUCCUUUUGUACAGUUAAAUCUGUUUAACCAUGCUCAAAAUUUACUGAUUUACCUGGAAAAAGUGAUCUUUUGCUCUCUUAGGGCUUCGUUAAUACGUGAUUAUCAUCUCGGUGUGUUCAGGGUUUUGCUUUUGUUUCAGGGUUUAUGUGGGUUUUGGUUUUAGGGUUAAUGAGCGAUGAUCAUCUCUGUUUUUUUUUUUGUUUAGGGAAAGUUUGAUUAUCUUUUACUUUGUUUACUAUUACUUACUGUUUCUCUUUGCUUUUGCGCUGAUUGGUUUUGUUUUAUCCGUUCCUGAUGAAUCACUGAUUGUGUUCUUACAGUUUUACUGAGUAGAAAUAGAUUAAUUUUCUGCUCAAUUCUACUGAUUUACCUGGAAAAAAGUGAACUAUUGCUCUCUUAGGGUUUCGUUGAUGUGUGACGAUUAUCUAUGUGUGUUUAGGGUUUUGUUUUGAUUUAGGGGUUUAGCUCUUCUUGAGUUUUGUUUUACUAAGCACUCAGGAUAUCCCAGCUGACCUGGAGAUGGGGAUGUCUACUACUGAUCAGCCUUGGGGGUGUCCGAAUUCUAGCAGCAACAUAACUUCAAAACCAAGUAGAAACAGUUCUUCUCAUCCUAGAGCUCCUGUAGAGGUUGUUUCUUCGGCUCAAGCUAAUUUUCUGCGGCACUUUAAAAGAUUUGACACUGUUGAGGAUUUCUCAGAUAUUUCUUGAGAAUAAUUUGCCAGAGACGAUAUCUGUGCGAGCUUGUGAAUCAAGAAUGGAUCUUAUGAGAGCUGUAAUUAUUGGAGCAGAGGGGACUCCUUAUCAUGACGGUCUUUUCUUUUUUGAUAUUCACUUCCCUGAUAACUAUCCUUCAGUGCCACCAAUGGUUCAUUACCAUUCUGGUGGGCUUAGAAUCAACCCAAAUCUAUACAGCUCUGGUAAAGUAUGCUCGAGUCUUCUCGGUACCUGGAAUGGUAACCCGAGGGAGCAAUGGCUACCACAGGAGUCCACCAUGUUACAGCUUCUCGUCUCAAUCCAAGCACUCAUCUUGAAUCAAAAACCAUACUUUAACGAACCUGCCUACGAGCGGACCAAGGGGACUCCAUCAGGCGAGGCUUAUUCCAAAGUUUACAGCGAGAACGUAUACAUAUCGUCAUUAAGGACGAUGGUUUACGGCAUGAGAAAAUCACCAAAGCACUUUGAAGAGUUUGUUCGUAGCCAUUACUUUGAGCGGGCUCACGAUAUUUUGAAAGCAGCCAAUGGUUAUAUAGACGGUGCUCCUGUUUGUUCCAUAGUUAAAGGAACUAGCCAGGUCGAGUCCAUGAAAUUUAGGACUGACA